UACAGAGGUCUCAAGCGUUGUUCGGAUUCAUUGGGCGUAAAGGGUGUGUAGGUGGCGCCGUAAGUCGGGUGUGAAAUUUCGAGGCUUAACCUCGAAACUGCAUUCGAUACUGCGGUGCUUGAGGACUGGAGAGGAGACUGGAAUUCAUGGUGUAGCAGUGAAAUGCGUAGAGAUCAUGAGGAAUACCAGAGGCGAAGGCGGCUACCUGGACAAUUGCUGACGCUCAGGCACGAAAGCGUGGGGAGCAAAAGGG
rnacentral:rRNA from 1 species